rnacentral:rRNA from 1 species
GACGAACGCUGGCGGCGUGCCUAACACAUGCAAGUUGAGCGACGAACCAGGGCUUGCCCUGGGGCAAAGCAGCGAACGGGUGAGUAACACGUGGGUAACCUGCCCCGAUGAUCGGGACAACCCGAGGAAACUCGGGCUAAUACCGAAUGUGCUCGCCGGACACCAGUCCGGCGCGUAAAGGAAGCUUCGGCCUCCGCAUCGGGAGGGGCCCGCGGCCCAUUAGCUUGUUGGUGAGGUAACGGCUCACCAAGGCAACGAUGGGUAGCUGGUCUGAGAGGACGAUCAGCCACACUGGGACUGAGACACGGCCAGACUCCUACGGGAGGCAGCAGUGGGGAAUCUUGCGCAAUGCGCGAAAGCGUGACGCAGCAACGCCGCGUGGGGGAAGAAGGCCUUCGGGUUGUAAACCCCUUUCAGGAGGGACGAAGGUUCGGCGGUGAAUAGCCGUCCGGACUGACGGUACCUCCACAAGAAGCCCCGGCUAACUACGUGCCAGCCGCCGCCGUAAUAC